rnacentral:rRNA from 1 species
CCCUUAGAUGUUCUGGGCCGCACGCGCGCUACACUGAUGCAUUCAACGAGUUCCUACCUUGGCCGAGAGGCCUGGGCAAUCUUUUGAACCUGCAUCGUGAUAGGGAUAGAUUAUUGCAAUUAUUAAUCUUGAACGAGGAAUUCCUAGUAAACGCAGAUCAUCAAUCUGCAUUGAUUACGUCCCUGCCCUUUGUACACACCGCCCGUCGCACCUACCGAUUGAAUGGUCCGGUGAAGCCUCGGGAUUGUGGUUAGUUUCCUUCAUUGGAAGUUAGCCGCGAGAACUUGUCUAAACCUUAUCAUUUAGAGGAAGGUGAAGUCGUAACA